rnacentral:lncRNA from 1 species
UCCAGGGUGAUUGUACAGUUCAGGGGAGAUGGGAACCAUGUAAAGUUGCCACACAUAUUUGUGGUGAAUCUAUGUUAAAAACAAGUGGCAUUGUUUUUCCCUGUUCUUCCUUUGUUUAGGCUGGUGUCCAGCUAAGAUCCCAGAUGCUUAUGGAAGAUAAGAUCCAACUUGGUGUGUGGGGAUGCAGCUUCUGCAGGAUUUAUAACAAUAGAGCUCGGAAAAUAUUCUUGUUCAGCUAUACAACUCCCAGAAUCUCAUGGUGGAAGAAAUCCAUGCAGAAGAAAAGGAGCAGGAAGCUGUUACAUUGUCAUGGAGCUUGAGCAGCUAGCAAUUGCUGGAAAAUGGGGGGGAAAGGAGAUGGCUACAGUCUUCAUGCCCCACUUGUAGACUUCCUAUGAGCACUCAAUUGGUCACUGUGGGAAACAAAAUGCUGAGCUGUAAGUGCUUUUGGUCAUUAUAUCUACUGGUCACAGAGGCUAACAUUGGAAAACAUUGGUCCCUUUUUGCCUGAAGAGGACCCACAAGGCAUCACUGCAUACUGUCCACUGUAGCUCACUCUGGUGGUUCCAUACCCCAAGGCACCUAAUUUAAGGCUCAGAAGCCCUGACACAAAAUGUAGCAGCAAUCUGCAACAGUGAGCGAUUCCUUCCUUCAAUAACCAGCGCAUGUUUGUGCUACGAGAGCAUUUCAAAGCAUUUGCGCCUUUGCUUUUCCCCCGUCUUUUGAAUAUCUUCAGUCAAGCAUGAUUUCACUCAUGAGGAUGAGAGGGCUAGUCCCACCACAGCAGCAGUUCCCUAGAAAGCGUACACAAACAUUGAAUUUCAGGAAGCUUAUUAGUGUCUAGUACUUCUUUUUAAAAAGGGGGAUGGUGGAGGGAGAAAAAAGCCCUGCUCCUUAUUAAUUAAUAUUUCUCUGAGAAAUAGGUGCCAUCUGCUCCAGAAAAUUUAGUUGCUUCCCUUGGGCAUGGUAAGGAUUAGUUAUGGUUUAGCCAGCACUUUGAAAAUUUAAAGCCUUCCUCUCUGUGCACUGCUAGUCUUGCAGUUUCAACAGCCAGUUGACCUUGAGAGAAUGAGAAAGAGACAUACAGUACAGAGAAAGCGAGUGAGUGAGAGAGUGAGAGAGAGUGAGAAAGAGGGAGGGAGAUAUUAUUCCAUUUGCUACAGGGAAAGUUACCUUUUGAAGAUGCCCAUAGUGGUGUCAAGAGAGGAAGAACGGGAGGGGAAAGAAACAAAAUGAAAAAAAAAAGCUUCCUCGAAACAAAAAUAAAAUGAAACCUCCCAAUUUAAAUGACUCCA